rnacentral:rRNA from 1 species
UACGAAGGGGGCUAGCGUUGCUCGGAAUUACUGGGCGUAAAGGGAGCGUAGGCGGACAGUUUAGUCAGAGGUGAAAGCCCAGGGCUCAACCUUGGAAUUGCCUUUGAUACUGGCUGUCUUGAGUACGGGAGAGGUGUGUGGAACUCCGAGUGUAGAGGUGAAAUUCGUAGAUAUUCGGAAGAACACCAGUGGCGAAGGCGACUCACUGGACACAUAUUGACGCUGAGGUGCGAAAGCGUGGGGAGCAAACAGG